rnacentral:rRNA from 1 species
GAUGAACGCUGGCGGCGUGCCUAAUACAUGCAAGUCGAGCGAACAGACGAGGAGCUUGCUCCUCUGACGUUAGCGGCGGACGGGUGAGUAACACGUGGAUACCUACCUAUCAGACUGGGCUAACUUCGGGAAACCGGAGCUAAUACCGGAUAAUAUAUUGAACCUCAUGGUUCAAUAGUGAAAGACGGUUUUGCUGUCACUUAUAGAUGGGUCCGCGCCGCAUUAGCUAGUUGGUAAGGUAACGGCUUACCAAGGCGACGAUGCGUAGCCGACCUGAGAGGGUGAACGGACACACUGGAACAGAGACACGGUACAGACUCCUACAGGAGGAAGCAGUAGGGAAUCUUCCGCAAUGGGCGAAAGCCUGACGGAGCAACGCCGCGUGAGUGAUGAAGGUCUUAGGAUCGUAAAACUAUGUUAGUAGGGAAGAACAAAUGUGUAAGUAACUAUGAACGUAUUGACGGUACCUAAUCAGAAAGCCACGGCUAACUACGUG